AAAAGAUAAGCUAAACUAAGCUUUUAGGCUCAUAACCUAAAUAUAGAACUAAAUAUUCUUCUUUUUA
rnacentral:tRNA from 1 species